GCGACCCCAGGUCAGGCGGGACUACCCGCUGAG
rnacentral:rRNA from 20 species